rnacentral:rRNA from 1 species
ACACUGGGACUGAGACACGGCCCAGACUCCUACGGGAGGCAGCAGUAGGGAAUAUUGGACAAUGGGGGCAACCCUGAUCCGCAAUGCAGCGUGAGUGACGAAGGCCUUAGGGUUGUAAAACUCUUUCAUCGGUGAGGAUAAUGACAGUAGCCGAAGAAGAAGGACCGGCUAAUUCCGUGCCAGCAGCCGCGGUAAUACGGAAGGUCCUAGCGUUGUUCGGAAUUACUGGGCGUAAAGCGCAUGUAGGCGGAACAGAAAGUUAGAAGUGAAAUCCCUGGGCUCAACCUAGGAAUUGCUUUUAAAACUUCUGUUCUGGAAUUCAGGAGAGGAAAAUGGAAUAUCCAGUGUAGAGGUGAAAUUCGUAGAUAUUGGAUGGAACACCAGUGGCGAAGGCGAUUUUCUGGACUGAUAUUGACGCUGAGAUGCGAAGGCAUGGGUAGCAAACGGGAUUAGAUACCCCGGUAGUCCAUGCAGUAAACGAUGGGUGCUAGUCGUCGGACUUAUGUUCGGUGUCGUAGCUAACGCGUUAAGCACCCCGCCUGGGGAGUACGGUCGCAAGAUUAAAACUCAAAUAAAUUGACGGGGACCCGCACAAGCAGUGGAGCAUGUGGUUUAAUUCGACGCAACGCGAAGAACCUUACCAGCGUUUGACAUGGGAAGUACCGGUUACAGAAUGGUAACCUUCAGUUCGGCUGGCUUCCACACAGGUGCUGCAUGGCUGUCGUCAGCUCGUGUCGUGAGAUGUUGGGUUAAGUCCCGCAACGAGCGCAACCCUUAUCGUUAGUUACUAACAGUUCGGCUGAGGACUCUAGCGAAACUGCCGGUGAUAAGCCGGAGGAAGGUGGGGAUGACGUCAAGUCCUCAUGGCCCUUACACGCUGGGCUACACACGUGCUACUAUGGUAACUACAACGG